rnacentral:rRNA from 1 species
UGGGGAAUAUUGCGCAAUGGGCGAAAGCCUGACGCAGCCAUGCCGCGUGUGUGAAGAAGGCCUUAGGGUUGUAAAGCACUUUCAAUUGGGAAGAAAGGUUGCGUGUUAAUAGCACGUAGCUGUGACGUUACCUUUAGAAGAAGCACCGGCUAACUCCGUGCCAGCAGCCGCGGUAAUACGGAGGGUGCGAGCGUUAAUCGGAAUUACUGGGCGUAAAGCGCGCGUAGGCGGUUUGUUAAGUCGGAUGUGAAAGCCCCGGGCUCAACCUGGGAAUUGCAUUCGAUACUGGCCGACUAGAGUACGAGAGAGGGAGGUAGAAUUCCACGUGUAGCGGUGAAAUGCGUAGAUAUGUGGAGGAAUACCGGUGGCGAAGGCGGCCUCCUGGCUCGAUACUGACGCUGAGGUGCGAAAGCGUGGGUAGCAAACAGGAUUAGAUACCCUGGUAGUCCACGCCGUAAACGAUGUCUACUAGCCGUUGGGAGACUUGAUUUCUUAGUGGCGCAGCUAACGCACUAAGUAGACCGCCUGGGGAGUACGGCCGCAAGGUUA